CAGCGAUGAACAAGAGCCUGCAUGCCACCCCCAUACAAAUCUGCACCAGCCACUCUUGUAUCUGCAUGUGCCACUCUUGUCAUCACCACUGCUGAAACACACCACCAAGCCCUCACUGUGCUCACAUCCACUGUUUGGUCUCCAUCAGCAUUCAGCAAGCAUCGAUGGAUGUCAAUGCAUGGAGGAAUUCAAUUACACACCUUUGCUCCAUACACGCUUCCAUGUCGAGCAUCACUCUGUCAGACUGCCCCUCUGUUGCCAGCUCUUGCACAGCAACAAAAUGUAAUGGGAUAUUUUUGGGAAGGUUCAGUCUCUACUGCCAUCCCACCAAUAUCUGCCUCUGAUGUUGUGGGCCAACAGAAUAAAAUAGGAGGCAUUACUUUUGGAGCAUCCCUUAUAAAAGCAAUCCUUUGUCUGACAGAGAGAAGACGCCAGGACUGGAAGCACGUCCUGAACAAACAGUUCCUAAUGCAGUCCUUCAUACCACGCACAGUCAUGGGAGAGCAUUUUAGAAGCUUGCACGCGGGAGAAUAUUCUCACCUGCCCUGGCAGCUGAGCUGAGCUGCAUGUGAAUUCUCUCAGCAGCAGAGGUACUGCUGACAAACAGUCAUCUCUGGUGAUGAAAGGAAUGCAGACUCAAGUGAAGUUGAUUUAAAGGAUCUAAUGGAUUCAACAUGAGGGUAUCCCAGAUCUGGAAGGGAUGUUCUCCAACCAAGAGCAGCAGGGCCUCAGGGCCAGCAUGGGACUAUGUGCACAAAGAGACCUCAUCCGGAGCAGCCCACAGUCUGUUUGGCUUUCUCACUCUUUGGAGAUGGUAUAUUUUAAAGGAUAUCAAGCAGCAAAUGUGGCAAAGGGGAAAAAUUGCUACAGACUGUAUUUGGCAGAACACCAGCAAAGAUAAAAUACCAUACGUUCCGUGCAAUGAGCUCCUACAUAAAUGACUCAUUCACUAGAAUACAGCUGGGGUCAAACACGUUCUAUCUGAACAGCCAAAGUUAUGCAAAUAUUUUUAUGAAGAUUUUCUCAAAAGAAAGAAGAACAAUAUAUAUAUAUAUACACGUAUAUAUAUACGUUUGCAGUAAAAAACACUAUUCAUCCGUGUAACUUUAAAAUCAGAAUCCCACAAGAACGGUGUCACUGUGUUAUACACAUAUAUUCAGAA
ensembl:lncRNA